CCUACGGGAGGCAGCAGUGGGGAAUAUUGCACAAUGGGGGAAACCCUGAUGCAGCGACGCCGCGUGCGGGAAGAAGGCCUUCGGGUUGUAAACCGCUUUCAAUUGGGAAGAAGAGAUGAGUGCUAAUAUCACUCUGAUUUGACGGUACCUUUAGAAGAAGCACCGGCUAAUUUCGUGCCAGCAGCCGCGGUAAUACGAAAGGUGCAAGCGUUGUUCGGAUUUACUGGGCGUAAAGAGAUCGUAGGUGGUUUGUUAAGUCGGAUGUGAAAUCCCGGGGCUCAACCUCGGAACUGCAUUCGAUACUGGCAGACUAGAGUUUGGGAGGGGUAAGCGGAAUUCCGUGUGUAGCAGUGAAAUGCGUAGAUAUACGGAGGAACACCUGAGGCGAAGGCGGCUUACUGGACCAAUACUGACACUGAGGAUCGAAAGCGUGGGUAGCAAACAGGAUUAGAUACCCUGGUAGUCCACGCCCUAAACGAUGUCUACUAGCCGUAGCGGGUAUCGACCCCUGCUGUGGCGAAGCUAACGCGAUAAGUAGACCGCCUGGGGAGUACGGUCGCAAGAUUAAAACUCAAAGGAAUUGACGGAA
rnacentral:rRNA from 1 species